GCAGAGUAAAUCCGCGUGCGUCAAGUGCUUCCGGAUGGAGAGUUGCCGGGAGACGAAAAGAGAGAUCUUGCGAUAGGCGGAUUGCACUCGCUGC
rnacentral:ncRNA from 1 species